rnacentral:lncRNA from 1 species
AUAAAUUAAACUAUUUAAUAGUUCAAUUAAUUAAUAUUAGUAUAGUCCAUUUAAUAAAAUAAUGCAGUCCAUUUACUAAAAAAAAAUCUGCACAAUCCAAGUAACAAGGCCCAGCUGUUUUAAUUAAAUAAACUGAGCCCAAGUUACUAAAUAAAAAUCGCAGCCCAAGUAAAUUAAUACAAGGGGCUGCCCAAACUCAAAUAAUCAGAGGCCCAUCUCUCAAUUUAAAAAAAAACCGGCCCGAGUUCAAGAUUUAAAACAAAGGCCCAACACUUCAAAGCCCAACUGAAACAAAAAUAAACAAAAAUCCCGGCCCAAUACUCGGCCCAAUUCGCAAACCCACCCCAAAGCCCAACACUCAAACCCUAUACCCCUUCUUUCUCCCUUUUCUCGUCUCUCUGCCUCACAACGCACACACACAUACCAGCUGCGCAGCAGCACCCCUUUUCCUCCUUCUCUCUUCCGGCGCAGCACACACACACACUCACGCAUACACAGACGCGGCUGCACCCUCUCCCCUCCUCUCGAUCUUUUCCGGCGGCGGUAGUAGCGCCGCCUCCGCCGUCCCCUGACUCCCCUUCGACCUCUCUCUUUCUCUCUUCACGUCGGAAGUACGACGCCGCGGAGACUCGCCGGAGGCGCAGCAGCGACGAGCUACCGCCACCAGCUCUCUCUCUGACCUCUCUCUCUUCGGCUGGUAACAGCCGCCAUACGCUGCCACCAUCGCCGAUUCCCAGCCCUCAAGCUUUCUCUCUCUCUCACUUACUCGGCCAGACUGACAGCAGCAGCUUCACGCCACUACAGCCGUCUGCCGGCUCACAGCCAAACGCCCCUUCCCUGACUUGACUCGGCAGCCGACGGCAGUAGCUUCGCCCCGCCGUCGCCGCUCACCCUCUGAAACUCCCUCUCUGCCCGUCCUUGGCUGGGCAGCAGCGGCACCACCGCCGCCAAACCCAGCCUCCCUCAUCUCCCUCCGACGAACAGCGGCUGCCAGACCGCCGCCGCCAAGUUCUGACCCAGCCAACAGAAGACAUGCACCCUCGGCUUCACUCUUCUCUCG